CUUACGUUUGCUAGUGUUUUUCAAACAACACACGUGACUAAACCUGAUUGGUUGUUGUCAUAGUAACAGUCACGGUGCUAUUUGAAACUUGUUCAGUUCAGUUCAGUUGUUCACGAGGUGCAUGCGGUUGCUUACAUUAAACGUAUUAACUGUAAAAUUAGAUGGCGACUCUGCAUUAAACGUAUUUAUUUAAUUAAUCGGCGAUCAUAUUUCACCAGAGGACUAAGAUAAAACAACUCGAUUUAAAAUAUGAGCAGUUUUAGUGGAUCUGACCUUGAGGGAAAAAGUAUUUUUGUUUGGAGAUGAACGAGACAACACAAGGGUAAGUGAUGACAGAUUUUCACAUUUCUUUAUUUAGUUAACUAUUAAAUAAGUAUAACAUUACAUUUAACCCAGCUUCUUUAUGUAACGUUAUGUCUGUGUUGCGUGUGGUAAUUGGAACAUCUUUAUUUUCUGACUAACGUUAGGCAUUUCUCUUAAGCAUUUCAGAAAUCAUUAAAACCUCUCUUUUUUUUUUUGCACAGCGACAUAAAUAUGACCAGCCAGAUCCCAAGUAGACAGGAACAAAUGAAGAUAUAGCGCAUAGAAAGACUUAUUCUUGGUGAUCAACUGCUAUUGAAUCUGGGCAAAUGUGGAGUGAUUUGGAAGAAAAACGUUUGCAACACAUCCAUUCCAGAGUGCUGUGACAGAUAAAACUGACACACUUGAUGAGGACACAGUCAAAGCUUUAAAAGCCCGUGUGAUAAAGCAGUCUUCAAUUACUACGGUGUCUGAAUUGCAAGAAGAAGUGAACCUCCACUUAAACAUGUGACAUCUAAACUGUUUGUGUUUUAGUUCAGCUUUUUAUAGGUUUAUCUUAAGUUGGUUAAAGGUGGAGUGCACUAUUUUUGAAAGCCAAUGUUAACAUUUGAAAUUACCUAAACAAACAUGCCUCUACCCCAAUAGAAUCUGGACCUUCUUUUGAUAGAGCCACCACACACAAACGCAACCCCGGCAAGGAUGUCGGUUAGUAGACACGCCCCUUACUGCUGGAUGGCUGCAAGUGUGUUUUGGUAGUCGGCCCAGUUUCCUUUUCCAAAGUU